CUUGGCCACUAGGAAAGUUGACUUCGGGGCAAGACCCCACCCACCAGAGGCCCCAGCCCGUGGAAAGGUGACGCUCCUGAAGGGUUCCCUGCUUCUACAAUGCUCCCCAUGGGAUCGUUUCUCAGCUCCAGCAGCCAGGAUGAGCAGAGGGCGCUGUAGCUGUGGCAAACGGAGUCCAUGUUACAUCUUUAGCUGGCAGCAGAACUCCAGCUGGGUAAGAUCAUCCACGCCGUUUUCAAUAUGCAGGAGUCAUGGAAUCACAGAAGCCUCCCCCCAAGGUUCCAGAAUGCUGCGGAGGCCAGGUACUGUGCUGGCAGGGCCAGACUCCCUGCAGAGAAGUCCUGGGUACAAAGAGGUCUCUGUGCAACACAAGUACAGAGACACUGGACAAAGUCAAUGCAAACUGCAGGAACACCGCAGAACUGUCUCAGGAGAGGCGACACAUACCUCAGGGACAGAACUGGAGAGAAUGAAACAGCUCUCACUGGAUGAUAAAGAGUAAUGACUCUACACACUUCCCUCUCAGACUGCCCUGCUAAACACCACUACCACAGCGAGUUACAGAGGCAGAGUCUGCCCCGUUGGGGAAGGCGAGGCAGUAGGCAGCUGGAGCCACAAACACAAGCAGAGAGAGCAAACUCUCAGAGCCUCCGUUUCCUGCCCAGGGACACGCUUCCCCCCGGCAAGGCUGCACCUCGCGAAGGUUCGAUAUCGUCUGCAAACAGCACAGCAAUUGCAGAGCGAGUGUUGGAACACCUGAGCCUAUGGGGCGGCCUCUCAUUUAAGCCACCGCAGAAGAGUCCUUCAGGGUGUCUUACCGUUCACGGGACGUGGCGCAAUUAUAAGAACUAUUAAAUGUUCCAAAGAUUUCUGAGACUUGCGAAGGGCAUUUCAUAGAUGAAAUAUGUACAGCCAAAUAAAAUCCGAUUAAGAAAAAUAAAUUGUGCUUGUAGGGAGUUGUCAGCCCACGGAGAACCGGAUUUUUCCAUCCGUCAGUCAGCUAUCUUUGUGUGGAGAGAAGCCACGGUUUCCUGAUUGGCAUGGGGAGACUUUAGCAAUUUGCCAAUUGCUAAACAGUUUGCCAUGACCCUAUGUCUGGGUCAUCGUGGCAUUUUAGUAGCGACACAAGGCUUCAAACAGGAGACGUUGAAGGACAGCUGCUCUCCCUUUGCAUUGCGGCUCAGCCUGCAGAUGAC